UUUUAUCUCUUGCAUUUGCUUUGAUCAUUGUUCAUAUCAUAUUGCAAUGCGAAUUCUUGAUCUGAGAUUUCAAUGUUUGUCUGUUUGGUCGUUGUUGAUCUGAGAAUUGUGUCUCAUCAUCAUUUAGCUUAGAGUUUGAAAUGAAAUGGAGUAGUAUUACGGAUUUGUUGAUUUCGAUUGAUAUGUGCAAUUACUAGUGAUUUUAACUUCAUGCAGCAACCUACAAUCCGAACUAGCCAUUGUAGCAUCAGGGACAGGUUUUUGGAGUUAGCUCACCCUCGAAGGGUCACAACCCUUAGUCCUAGCCAUUGUAGCAUUAGGGAUGGGUUUUUGGAGUUAGCUCACCUUCGUAGGGUCAUGACCCUUUGCCACAACAAUUGUAGCAUUAGGGAUGAUUUUUGGAGUUAGCUCACCCUCGCAGGGUCAUGACCCUUUGUCCCCGCCAUUGUAGCAUUAGGGACAAGGUUUUUGGAGUUAGCUCACCCUCGCAGGGCCACGACCCUUUGUCCCAGCCGUUGUACCAUUAGGGACAGGUUUUUGGAGUCAGCUCACCCUCGCAGGGUCACGACCCUUUGUCCCAACCAUUGUAGCAUUAGGGACAAGUUUUUUGAGUUAGCUCGCCCUUGCAAGGUCAUGACCCUUUGUCAGCCAUUGUAGCAUUAUGGAUGAGUUUUGGAGUUAGCUCACCCUUGCAGGGUCACGACCCUUUGUCUCAUCCAUUGUAGCAUUAUGGAUGGGUUUUGGAGUUAGCUCAUCCUUGCAGGAUCACGACCCUUUGUCCCCGCCAUUGUAGUAUUAAGGACGGGUUUUUAGAGUUAGCUCACCCUCGUAGGGUCAUGAUCCUUUGUCCCCGCCAUUGUAGCAUUAGGGACAGGUUUUUGGAGUUAGCUCACCCUCAUAGGGUCAUGACUCUUUGCCCCAACCAUUGUAGCAUUAGGGACGGGUUUUUGGAGCUAGCUCACCCAUGCAGGGUCACAACCCUUUGUCUCAUCCAUGUAGCAUUAGGGACAGAUUUUUAGAGUUAGCUCACCCGGGUCACAACCCUUUGUCUCAGCCAUUGUAGCAUUAGGGACAGGUUUUUGGAGUUAGCCCUCACAGAGGACAGGUUUUUGGAGUAAGCUCACCCAUGCAAGGUCACUGACUCUUUGUCCCAACCAUUAGCCCCAGCCAUUAUAGCAUGUGCUUUCUCACUAAUCUUUGAGUUUGUGAGUGAAUGGGCUGUUAGAAAAGCCAUCAAUGCAUAUUACCAUUGGAUGAACAUGUAGGUCAUACAAGGGCAAACGUUUAGAAAUUAGACAAAUGGUGUUAGAAAGGAGAAGGGAGCCUGGAGGAGUUUAAUAGUGGAGAAUGUGGUUACUUUUAAGGCAUGAUUGUCUAGUGUCUUGAGACUUAAGCGAUAGCUCCCGAGACGUAUCCAUAGGUGUUUUAAGAGAAGCUCCAUGGUUAUUGCUUAUUGUCGAAUAGUUACAUCCCGUGCACAAGUGAGAAAACUUCUCUCUACCAAGGACAUUUAGUUAUGUUUUAUAGCCAAAAGUCAUCCCGAACUCGAGCUCGGGAAAAGGAUUAUUUGGAGCCUUAUGCAUUUGGUUCUUACAAUCUCAUUAGGCCACAAGUUGCAUGGAAAUGCUUGUAAAUACUCGAGCAUUGGUCUUUGCUUGUCGUGAAACUUCUCGGAAAGACAUACGAUGGUAGUUUUGAAAUUGGUUUAGAAUUCAAACGCUCAUAAAAUAAAAGUUAUUCCAUUUGCAUUGUCAUUCAUUUUAUGUAUAAUAUGCGAGUUCCUUGACGUUUGAAU